rnacentral:rRNA from 1 species
UACGGGGGGGGCAAAUGUUGUUCGGAAUCACUGGGCGUAAAGGGAGCGUAGGCGGGUUCUUAAGUUAGGUGUUUAAUCCCGGGGCCCAACCCCGGACCGGCACUUAAAACUGGGAAUCUUGAAUAGUGGAGAGGUCAGUGGAAUUGGGGGUGUAGCGGUGGAAUGCGUAGAGAUCCCCAAGAACACCAGUUGCGAAGGCGGCUGACUGGACACAUAUUGACGCUGAGGCUCGAAAGCAUGGGGAGCAAACAGG